AUCUCUCCGAGCCUUCGACAAGCGGUAGAACAGCGCCCUCUUCCUGAAGUCCCGCGGAGCAGGGCAGUCAGCCCCCUCCUUUUUCCUCGCGGUUAGCGUCGACAUCAACCGGCAUCCGUCCCCCUUCAAUGAAAAUCAGUGGGGAUUUGCUUGGAGUUUUGGAUGCAGCAAUUGAAGUCUCCUCCUCUCUUUCUUUCUUCGAAUUCUGGUGAACUAAGGAUGGAUGUUGGCUGAUAUAUUUGAGCACUCUACGGGGAUGGUACAGAGGUAGGGUGGCUGUAGCAUUGGUGUCUAAGGAAAUGAAUGCUUAGUUUUGUUGGCUGAACAUUAAAUGGGUGGAGGCGUAAGGUGGCUGAUGGACCUUGCGUGAAUUAAGGCUGCAGAGGGGAAAUGUUGCUGUUGUAGCAACCCUUUUGCACACACAUUUCAUCUUCCUAUUUUUCUUUUCCUUCUUUUGAUAAAGUUUCUUACUUUCUCUUUUCCUUCUUUUUGACAAAGUAGCACUCCUUUCCCUUUUUUUCUUUUUGCACUAGAUAGUAAAUAGUAGUGUGGAAAUGAUUGUUGAUGGUAUUUGUUGGAGAGCAUGCGUGUAGUAUGCAAUAGAGUAGGAAAGAGGACUAUGAUUGUAAGUGUUGGAAAGUCUUGAGGUGACAAAUAGAAUCCCAUAGUAGUUUUUGUAUCAA